AUGAUCAAUUUGCCUGAGAAUGCUGCACCAGGGCACCAGAAGGGGUGGAGGGAAAACCUGUCCUCUCUCUCUUACCCCUCAGUAUUUCAGAGAGGCAGCAAUGGCUACCAUGGGCACACUCUGAGAAAUGAUGAUCUGGGCCACCAGGACAUUUGUGCCACCUUUUCUUCUAGAGUGGAAACUUCAGGAGGGCAAGAACAAGACUGCCAACUCUGCCCCUUGGAAAGUCCAGAGCACAGAGCCAGGCCUAGAGUAUGAAUGAGCCGGGCAAACAACCAUCACUGCUGGGCUAGUUACAUGCUCAAGGUUUUAGAAGCCAGAUAGGGCCAUGCAGACCCCAGUCCUGGUGCGCAUGUGAGGCUAUAACCCGCUUGGCAUGAGCAGCCCCACCCAGAACAAUAUUUGUACUCUGGUUUAUGUCACAGUUCACCAGGGCACAUUAUUAGAAACAACAAUUUGCUAAUGCCAGGUCCAAUCGGCCCUCUCCGAAAAAAAAAAAAUAUUCAAAAAUUUACAAGCCCACAGCCCAAAUCCUGGUGGAGCUUCGGUAAAGCUGGGAAUAUUUGUAUUUGUGCUGGCAAGAUACUGCAGAUAUGUUUUGUUGUACAUGGUAUUUAGAAAGACAAGCUGAAUCACUAGCAAACAUACAAAGGCUGGAAGACUCGAUAUUAAAAUCUGCAUUUCUGGGUUCUCUUGAGGAAUCAGCUCUGGGGACGAGGAGCUCACAUUCCCAUAUGGUGACAACCUGCGGGAGCUAAUCAGCAGCUAUCUCUUAAAGGGCCACGCGCCCACUUUGCUACAGUCCCUGCUUACCUGUGAGAUCACACGCCCCGUGGGUACGUGGCUUCUGAACACUGCCUUCAGGUGCCAAGGGAGAAGGUCAAGGAUGGAAGGCUUGGAGGUCCAUGUGGAGACCCCAGGCUCUCCAAUCUCCUAGAUUCUGCCCCACUCAAACACUGCAGCCAGAGUGACACUCGUGAAGUACAAGCUCGACACCGUUCAUGUUCCCGGCUCACACAGGGGGAAAACGGAAAACACACAAGGUCUCAGAAGACCACUCUGAGAUGAGGAUUCUCAGUCUCCUCCUUCUCUUCACUUCUCUGUCCCUACCCAUCCCGCUCCGACCACACCGCACUCAAGAG
rnacentral:lncRNA from 1 species